rnacentral:misc_RNA from 1 species
UACGGAGGGUGCAAGCGUUAAUCGGAUUUAUUGGGCGUAAAGGGCGCGUAGGCGGAUGGACAAGUCAGAUGUGAAAUUUCAUGGCUCAACCCUGGAGCUGCAAUUGAAACUUUCUGUCUAGAGGAUAGAGUGGGUGAAGCGGAAUUCCACAUGUAGCGGUGAAAUGCGUAGAUAUGUGGAGGAACACCGGUGGCGAAGGCGGCUUUCUAACCUAGACCUGGCGCUGAGGCGCGAAAGCGUGGGGAUCAAACAGG